rnacentral:rRNA from 1 species
GUGAGGAAUAUUGGUCAAUGGGCGCAAGCCUGAACCAGCCAUGCCGCGUGCAGGAAGAAGGUCCUAUGGAUUGUAAACUGCUUUUAUUUGGGAAUAAACCUCUUUACGUGUAGAGAGCUGAAGGUACCAAAUGAAUAAGCACCGGCUAACUCCGUGCCAGCAGCCGCGGUAAUACGGAGGGUGCAAGCGUUAUCCGGAAUCAUUGGGUUUAAAGGGUCCGCAGGCGGACUUAUAAGUCAGUGGUGAAAGCCCAUCGCUUAACGAUGGAACUGCCAUUGAUACUGUAAGUCUUGAAUUCGGUCGAAGUGGGCGGAAUGUGACAUGUAGCGGUGAAAUGCUUAGAUAUGUCACAGAACACCGAUAGCGAAGGCAGCUCACUAGGCCUGGAUUGACGCUCAUGGACGAAAGCGUGGGGAGCAAACAGGAUUAGAAACCCCAGUAGUCC